GGGUGGGGGGUGGGGGGUGGGUGUCUCUCUUGAGCACACUCGCCAAGUCUUGCUUUGCGCUUUGGUUUUCUGUGCGCUUGUUUGAUUCAUCCUCUCCUAUCUGGCAGAUUCAGACAGCUCAGUGCCCGGCACAGAGUGGGUGGCUGAAGCGUUCGUGGAAUGAAUGAAUGAAGGGGCAUGGGCUGCAGCCUGUACCUUGCUGGGGCAGAGUGCUCAGUUCCACAGCACGCUAACUCGAGCGUGAGGCUUGCUGUCACGUGGAUGGUCCUGUUUGGAUGCUGGGACUGGUGCCCUCCACUCCAUGGAGUCUCUGGGGCUCAGCACAAGGACGGGCUCGGUAAACAUUUGGUGCUGAGAGUAGGCAGAAGGUGGCGGGGAUUUGUGGGGCUGAGCAGGAGUACAGAUGAAGGCUCACAUACCAUAUGUCUAAAUAUUUGCAAGUUAUAAAUCAAGCUAACAAAAUGUGGAAUAAAAUAUGUCCUAUUC